AUUGAACGCUGGCGGCAGGCCUAACACAUGCAAGUCGAACGAGUGGCGGACGGGUGAGUAAUGUCUGGGACACUGCCCGAUGGCGGGGGAUAACUACUGGAAACGGUAGCUAAUACCGCAUACCAUCGGAUGUGCCCAGAUUGGAUUAGCUAGUAGGUGGGGUAACGGCUCACCUAGUCGACGAUCCCUAGCUGGUCUGAGAGGAUGACUAGCCACAGUGGAACUGGGAAACGGUCCAAACUCCUACGUGAGUCAGCAGUGUGGAAUAUUUCACAAUGGGCGCAAGCCUGAUGCAGCCAUGCCGCGUGUGUGAAGAAGGCCUUCGGGUUGUAAAGUACUUUCAGCGAGGAGGCGUGACUCGCAGAAGAAGCACCGGCUAACUCCGUGCCAGCAGCCGCGGUAAUUC
rnacentral:rRNA from 1 species